rnacentral:lncRNA from 1 species
GCAGAGGAAGCAGUCGGUGAGUUAUGCAAAUAGUACGGCAAAGAGCCUUCCGAGUCAACUCGGGGAGUUUCUAAGAGGAAUCAGAAGCUGAAAAGGGCUUCUACUCACCGCUGAAGAGCCUUCCCCAUUUGAGCCUGACAUAUUCUCGUCAUUGGGCAUAAUGCUAGCUCAUUCGUGAAUAUUCCUAAUUUCUUCGAUUGUAUGCACCGAUACUAGGUUUGGUAUUAUGCUAUCCUAACCUAACAUGCGAAUCAUCAGUUUAUCGAGGCUAUGACACAGCGACCGGGUGUAAUCAGGCUUAAAUUACCGGACGGUAAUAGUAAAACGUCGCAGGGACACUCGACUGAUAGAAAGCGAACAAAGAGAGACACUCCCUCCUAGGUUAGGUUUCAUGACUUGUCAUUGCCUGUCACGUGGCCGCCACAGCUGACACGUGUCUGAAAACAUACUGUUUUGACAGGGCUAAUGCCUAAUUUCCAUUCACGCGGAAAGUGCGCGGAAAGCACACGGGAUCAACGCGGAAAGCGUAGAGAUGAGUUGGGAGAUUGCUCACGGGCAGGGUCGUGCAAUCGCGACCUGUGCUGCCCCCGGUGGAGGCCGCGGACGGCUAACGCACUUGCCACCUCUUACCCCUCAAUGGUGGCGCCACCCAUUUCUGGUGGGGGCUCGCGCAACUCGAGUGGAAGGUCAGGUAUAUAUUGGAGACCGCGGCGCCAAUUCCGGCAUUCGCCCAUCAACUAGGGCGCCGUGCGGAUGUGGGCACGAGCUGUACAAAUGAAUAGCUUUCCAACUCCAAGAGGGCGAACCCUGCCACUCAUAAAUUACCAGCUAAUUCCUAAUGUCCACUGACGUUCCCCGACUAGACUUCUCGGGUUUAACUACCUAAGUAGAUUUUUUAUACUUAAUCGACCAGGCGAUUUUCCUCCGGUCCGCCUAGCAGUUAAAGUCACGCGAGGCUCGUAAAGGCCUGUUAGAUUUUACGAGAGCGGCUGGGAGAUAAGGAGUUUUUUUUACGAGGGCUUAAAGUCUGUCGAAAAAGCCCGCUGCCGGGGAAAGUCAUCCCUGGCCGCGCGUUUUGUUCCUUGCCGGUCUCCACGCUGUUAUUCCAACCUGGCGAGAUCGGGCGAAUACCUUUUUCAGUAUUUACGAGCGAUAAGUGAGAUCUAAAUUAUACCCCAUGUUUCCGUAAACAGAUGAUGGGCCGCACUGUGUCAUCAGCGGAAUAUUUCCGAAUGUUUAAUCCACCCGGGAGCGCCGCCCAACACCCUGGAGUCACGGACGGCCAAAUAACGCGAGCACGUGAGUAAACGCGCGGCUCUUUGAUCAGCUGAUUUACUCCAAAACAUUGGAAUCCUAGGAAUUCCCCGGUGUUUUUCCCAGCCCGGAUGAUGAGCCGUCCUGGAGUCCUAGGGGACGCUCCAGAUGACUCCAGGAGGCACUUCAAGAUAAAAGGGGAGAGACUCGUUCCCAUGAAUUCAUCGUUCAACAUUCCGGAAGGUUUCCUCGCGUACUUCCCAUGGACCAUGGAUGAACGAUUCAGGGAGCCUGCCGGUGAAGAACUCCACUUCCUAUCGGCUGACUCCUCGAGUGACCUCAGAAGAGACGAUAUCAUCGAUAAAGUGCAGCGGUAAUAAGGAAGCGCAAAACUUUCCACUGGACGUUUCGUCGAAAAAACGUAAUCUGACCUCUUAUUCUCGAUUUCAUGGGGAUUUUUGUCACAUAUAAAUAGAUUCGCAUGAAAUAAUAUAUAAUAUAUAUAGAA